AGGAUGGAGAGGAGUAUAUGAUAGAGAUUUGCAUUCAAACUUGGAGUUUAUUAGAAAUACAGAAUCUUGGUUGGGCGUGGUGGCACACACCUAUAAUUCCACAACUUUGGGAGGCCGGGGCGGGGGGGGCAGCUCACCUGAGGUCAGGAGUUCAAGACCAACCUGGCCAACAUGGUGAAACCCCAUCUCUACUAAAAAUACAAAAAAUUAGCUAGGCGUGGUGGUGGGUGCCUGUAAUCCCAUCUACUCGGGAGGCAGAGUCAGGAGACUCACUUCAACCCAGGAGGCAGAGGCUGCAGUGAGACAAGAUCACACCACUAUACUCCAGCCUGGGUGACAGAGCAAAACUUCAUCUCAAAAAAAAAAAAAAAAAAAAAAAGAAAAAAGAAAAGAAAAAAAGAAAUACAGGCCCCACCCUAGAGCUACUGAAUUGGGAUCUACAUUUUAACAAAAUGUCCAGGUAAUUCACGUACACAUUUAAGUUGAAAAACUGCUGAGGGGAUUUCAAAAAUAUUCUUCCUUCUGUUACAUAUUAUUCAUGCUUUUUAGUAGGGAAACAUUUAAACUGCAUCAGUUUUUCCCACUGAGAAAAACCAUGCUAUUCGUGAUACAAAGAGACAGGAAAGCUUUAUCCAGGGCCCUCAUCUAAUCACUACCAUCUAAUCACUAUCUCUCCCUCCACAUAGACUCAGCUUUGAAGUAGACCUUCCUCCCACUGCUGCUCCGUUUCUGCCCAUAUAAUGAAGGCUUACCACUUUCUGUAAGCUUUGUCUGCAUGACCUCAUCCAGCUGGGAGAUCACCCUGAGAGGCCAGCAAAUGACCAAUCCCAUCAUCCCUUCUGAGGUCAGCGCCCUGGGAAGAAAGGAAUUUAUGAUGGGAAAACUUCAGGUCCCAGAGAGGGAACUUCUCUACAUGAAAAAGACUACCAAGCAGAAUUCUUUGGCGACUCUCAAAGCACCAAAUAUCAGCGCUGCUUAUGGCCAGGCUACCUGUGAGUUAUUCUGUUGUUUCUUCAUUAAAUGACAUAAAUGAGAUAACUCUAAAAUAUUUAUAAU
rnacentral:lncRNA from 1 species